UGGUGGUGGUUGGUGAUGGUGGUUGGUGGUGGUGGUUGGUGGUGGUUGGUGGUGGUGGUUGGUGGUGGUGGUUGGUGGUGGUGGUGGCGACCGAGUGGUGGUCUAGCGGUCAGCGCUGCAACCCCGGUGACCCGAGUUUGAUGCCCGCUCACGGCCAACACCAAGUGACGAUUUUUUUUUUACCGGUCGGUCCUGCGCCUUCCCUAGGUCGACUCAACCUCAAAUGAGUACCUGGUGCGGUGCCUAAAAAAAGGCGGCCGGGCAUGGUGCUGACCACCCACCCCCUCGUGUGUCGCUCCGGCCUUCAUAGGUGUUCGCUAACAGCACUUGCCCCUACAGCACGUUAAGGCCACACGGGGGACCUUUGUUUUUGGUGGCGACCUUCGGAGUGGUGACGAAACACGGUGUGAAGAUUAACCCCUCUCAGCAAUGCGGAAAUCUACGCUUUAUUAGCUCACAAGUGACGAGAUCGCAUUCAUCCCUCUGUUCAAGACAGCGACAGGAGGAUGAGGAUGGCUCCACGAUUCUGACAGUCGCCUGACGCGGCUGGUUGUUGUUGUAGUCACCGGUUGUUGUUGUUGUUGUAGUCAGCGGCGAAACGUCACAUUGUAAAUGGUGUCGUGGGUUGUAUCUGCCAACACACAGCCGGUGUGCUGUACUAGUAACGAGUUGGCAAGUUUUGUUUAGCGUGACAAAUCUUACUAAUUGGCCGUGGCGGGUGGUGGCGGGUUUAACGACACAUUAACGCGAUCUAACCCCCCCCCCCCCACCAAAUAAAAACUCUAGUGGAUGAUA